rnacentral:rRNA from 1 species
CGUCAAGUCCUCAUGGCCCUUACGUCCAGGGCUACACACGUGCUACAAUGGUCGGUACAGAGGGAAGCGAGGCCGCGAGGCGGAGCCAAUCCCAGAAAGCCGUCCCCAGUUCGGAUUGGAGUCUGCAACUCGACUCCAUGAAGUUGGAAUCGCUAGUAAUCGGAGAUCAGCAUGCUCCGGUGAAUACGUUCCCGGGCCUU